AGAGAGAGGAAGAGGAGAAGAAGUCUUCUCCCUCUUCUUGGUGAUCUGGUUUAGAUCCCGAUGGAUCUGUGUGAAGGAGUUUGCGCAGCGAUCAUCAUCUUCGAGAUCAAGAAGAAGAGAUUCAGAUCCAAGACUGAAGAGAAAGAUCUGCAAGGUGCUAGCACACCGGUGAUCUCAGUGCUCCGAUCAGACAUCUCCUAUGGAUACCAGC
rnacentral:lncRNA from 1 species